rnacentral:tRNA from 1 species
CAUUUCAUAGUGGUCAUAACAUCUGCUUUACAAACAGAAGGUCCUGGGUUCAAUCCCCAGUGGAACCA